rnacentral:rRNA from 1 species
GAUGAACGCUGGCGGCGUGCCUAACACAUGCAAGUCGAGCGAUUCUCUUCGGAGAAGAGCGGCGGACGGGUGAGUAACGCGUGGGUAACCUGCCCUGUACACACGGAUAACAUACCGAAAGGUAUGCUAAUACGAGAUGAUAUGCUUUUAUCGCAUGGUAGAAGUAUCAAAGCUUUUGCGGUACAGGAUGGACCCGCGUCUGAUUAGCUAGUUGGUAAGGUAACGGGCUUACCAAGGCGACGAUCAGUAGCCGACCUGAGAGGGUGAUCGGCCACAUUGGAACUGAGACACGGUCCAAACUCCUACGGGAGGCAGCAGUGGGGAAUAUUGCACAAUGGGCGAAAGCCUGAUGCAGCAACGCCGCGUGAGCGAUGAAGGCCUUCGGGUCGUAAAGCUCUGUCCUCAAGGAAGAUAAUGACGGUACUUGAGGAGGAAGCCCCGGCUAACUACGUG